rnacentral:tRNA from 1 species
GGUGGGUUGGCUCAGUGGGUAGAGCUAAGCGUUUGUGACCGGGAGGUCCGAGUUCGAAUCUCGCAAGAGACAG